ensembl:snRNA U6 U6 spliceosomal RNA
GCACUCAUUUUGGAAGCACAUACACCAGAACUGAAAUGAUACAUAGAUUAGAAUGGUCCCUGUGCAAGGAUGACAUGCAAAUCUGUGAAGUGUUCCAUAUCUUU